rnacentral:rRNA from 1 species
AAUUCGAUGCAACGCGAAGAACCUUACCUACUCUUGACAUCCAGAGAACUUUCCAGAGAUGGAUUGGUGCCUUCGGGAACUCUGAGACAGGUGCUGCAUGGCUGUCGUCAGCUCGUGUUGUGAAAUGUUGGGUUAAGUCCCGCAACGAGCGCAACCCUUAUCCUUGUUUGCCAGCGAGUAAUGUCGGGAACUCCAGGGAGACUGCCGGUGAUAAACCGGAGGAAGGUGGGGACGACGUCAAGUCAUCAUGGCCCUUACGAGUAGGGCUACACACGUGCUACAAUGGCGCAUACAGAGGGCAGCCAACUUGCGAAAGUGAGCGAAUCCCAAAAAGUGCGUCGUAGUCCGGAUUGGAGUCUGCAACUCGACUCCAUGAAGUCGGAAUCGCUAGUAAUCGUGGAUCAGAAUGCCACGGUGAAUACGUUCCCGGGCCUUGUACACACCGCCCGUCACACCAUGGGAGUGGCCUGCA